UCGGUGAAUAUUGCUGACAACAGCGCGC
rnacentral:sRNA from 1 species